UUCAUAGCAAGAAAGCUAACACUUUGGAGUUUUGCAGGAACCUGUUUUUGUUGAGAGAAGAUCUUGGACUUUCCAGAGUGGAAUUUUAAUUUACAAGCCAAAGAUUCUGGCCCCUGAAUGCAAACGCAGCUUCCUGCAAUCUGCAUCUAUCCUGCCUUUGCAAUCCUCGCUCCCAUUAAGUACAAGACAGUUUGUUGUCUUCUGAGUUUUGCUUUAUUCUGCUCCCCUCUCCAGGAGUUCCUUUCCACCUUUCAAGUGCUACAUAUCCUUAAAGCCCAAUUCAUUAUUUCAUUUAACAAAUCUGUACAUUCCUACCCACUGCCA